UAAGAUUUACUUAUACAGCUUGUGCAGUAAUAAUUGCUUCCAUAGACCUCUUAAGUUUAAAUUUUUUAUAUUACAUUAUUUUAAGAGUAAACUUUAAAUACUAUUCCUACAGUUUCGCACUUUCUCACUUUAGUAUCCUAUAAUUUAAAGUGUAUCAAUUUAGUAUCUUGUAGUUUCAUUUUUUUUUUCUUCAUAUUUUUUUCGUUAAAUUAGUAACAAAAUUAAAACUAAAAAACUUUUAAGUGAAUAAAUAUUUAAUAAAUUUAGAUGAGAUAUUUGAAGUUUUUUAUAUAUAAUUUAAUAAAAUAUUAACAAAGGAGCUGACGAAAAGAGAAAAUAAAAUUAUAGGAUACUAAGUUGAUACAUUUUAAAUUAUAAAGUACUAAAGUAAAAAAAUAUAAAAUUAUAGAAAUGAUAUUUGAAGUUUAUACUUAUUUUUAAU
rnacentral:lncRNA from 1 species